rnacentral:rRNA from 1 species
CAGUAGCCGCGGUAAUACAGAGGGUGCGAGCGUUAAUCGGAUUUACUGGGCGUAAAGCGUGCGUAGGCGGCUUCUUAAGUCGGAUGUGAAAUCCCUGAGCUUAACUUAGGAAUUGCAUUCGAUACUGGGAAGCUAGAGUAUGGGAGAGGAUGGUAGAAUUCCAGGUGUAGCGGUGAAAUGCGUAGAGAUCUGGAGGAAUACCGAUGGCGAAGGCAGCCAUCUGGCCUAAUACUGACGCUGAGGUACGAAAGCAUGGGGAGCAAACAGGAUUAGAUACCCCCGUAGUCCCUGUCUCUUAUCC